GGUUUCAUUUUGUCCUGAUGAUAUGAGGUUUUCUGCAUUUGAAGGAGCUAAACAAAAGAAUGAGAAAAAUGAAAGUGAUGCUGGUUUGAUUUUGUCCUGAUGAUAUGAGGUUUUCUGCAUUUGAAGGAGCUAAACAAAAGAAUGAGAAAAAUGAAAGUGAUGCUGGUUUCAUUUUGUCCUGAUGAUAUGAGGUUUUCUGCAUUUGAAGGAGCUAAACAAAAGAAUGAGAAAAAUAAAGUAAGUUCAAAAUUUCUUUAGAAUUGAU